AGCUGGAGCUGGAGCAGUGGCAGAGUGGAACUGGAGCAGUCCAGAGCUGGGUGCGACAGCAGAAAGUGAAAGUGUUGAGGAGAUAUUGUCAACAUCCUCCCUUGUUUGAUUUUCCCUUGAGUUCUCUGUGGUGAAACUUUGGCCUGCAGUAGCAUUCAAAGAGCCCAAGAGGUGAGAACCAAAGAGGUCAGCUGCUUUGCUCCAGACGUUAAAUGAAACAAAUGCAUCUCUGUUAAUCAGUACAAAAGGAGAGGAAUCUGCUCCCAACAGCAAUACCAUACUUGAUUAAAGAGCAGCACAAAAUAAAAUGCUCAAAAGUGAGACACAUCUCCAGCUUCACUUUGGUGAAUAAAAAUGAAACAAAGAUCCAAGGAAGAAGACAGCUUUCUCAGAAGGUGAAUUAGGACCCACGGGGGUCUGCGGACCACAGACUGAAAACCACUGGACUAGAGCAAAGAAGAGGUGCUCCUUUUUUACUGAACACUGUAUGCGUUGAAAUACAUUUUGUAAAAUUCAUAAGUCACAAACCAAAUGGCUAGCAUCAUUUUUAAUUAAGACCUUCUGUUUUACUUAAUUAUCCCUUUUGACAUAGAUCUCCUCUCCUUUAGCCGCAGCAAUGCACCACUCUUCACAAAAUCACAAGCCGGAGUCUUGGCACAAAUAUGCAGUUAUAGACAAGAGUAUGUGUCAGUAUCUUUUUAAUUUGGACCAGCCCUGAGCCCUGACAAGAACGCUUUUCAAAGCUGGACUGUGCACAUACAAUCUACACACACUUAUUUCGUGUGACUAUGACAAGGGAAGAUUAAUUUAAUGUAUGAUCUCAGCCUACAGUAUUACAAUUUUUUCUAGCAGUGAUGUUAAGCAAGAGCUGAUUAAAUUGGCACAGAAAGGAAAAAAAAAGAGAAAAUAUCUCCCAAAUUCCUUAAUUCCACUAGUUUAGCUACUCCUGACUCCAGAAGCUACUCCUACCUUCUCCCUGUGAGAUUCAAAGGCCAAGUAACUACACUACCCAUUACCAUAGGCAGCGAGUUAUAUGGGCCCGUGGUGUCCGUGGUGUCCACCAAUAUUUAGGAACGUGGGCCAGGCUCCACCAAUGUUUGGGCUUACCGCACUUUGGGGGGCCCCACACUUCAG